GUAAGUGUAUAUUUGCAAAUAUAUGUAUUGCGUGUCAAAUAUUUACUAAUAUAUAAAUGUAAAUUGUUAAUAGGAUUUUUCAAAAUUCAAUGUAUGGACUACCGUCAAAUGAGUUUGACCGUUUGUGCGAUGAACAAUUUGCAGCAUGGUUCAAAACAUAUGUUCACAGUAAUCAUAAUCAAGUUGAAGAGCAAGGAUUGUUAUAUUAUCUGUCAUGGGGUCCACAGUCAAGCAUACGAACUUGGCCAGCAUAUUUCAUAAACGGCACAAAGAAAAAUCGAGGAACACUGGAAGGAUACAGCAUAUCAACAAGAGGAAGUUUGUAACGUGGUUCAAACUGAGGAAUAUAAUAUUCCUACUCUACGAGAUCUAUGUGGAGUAAUGAUAGAUGUAGAUCUAACUGAAAUUCGCGAAUCAAAUUUAGAAGGUGUUGCAGAAUCUGAUUUUGAGACAAAUGAUGAUAAGGAUGAUGAGGAUGAUGAUGAUGAUGAUGAUGACGAUGAUGCUCAAGAAGAAGAUCAAGAUCAAGAUCAAGAUCAA